UACGUAGGGUGCAAGCGUUGUCCGGAAUUAUUGGGCGUAAAGGGCUCGUAGGCGGUUUGUCGCGUCGGGAGUGAAAACUCAGGGCUUAACCCUGAGCCUGCUUCCGAUACGGGCAGACUAGAGGUAUGCAGGGGAGAAUGGAAUUCCUGGUGUAGCGGUGAAAUGCGCAGAUAUCAGGAGGAACACCGGUGGCGAAGGCGGUUCUCUGGGCAUUACCUGACGCUGAGGAGCGAAAGCUAGGGUAGCAAACGGG
rnacentral:rRNA from 1 species